GGAGAUUUAAUCUUUAAAAUUCAAAUUGGCAAGGGAAGCUUUAGCAAGAAAUUUACUUCUGAUAAGAGUGGUUUGGAAUGAAGGGGUGGUGUUUUGGAAUAAACUGUUUAAUUCAGAAUCUCAUGGAUUUGUAUUGACUAAACUCGUAUUUAUUCGCCAAUGGCAGUCAUUUUAGGGUCUUCUAAGGUGGAUUUGUAUUGAUUACUCUUUUUGAUGUUUUUUGAAUUGCUGGAAUGCUUGAAUCCAUAGGACGUUUGCUUAUUUUGUUGAAGUGUCCUUGUUCUUUUGGCUUCAAGUUUCUUACUGUGAGGGUGAUCAAAAUAAAACAGAGAUAUAUCAUUCACAUAGUUUAUAAAUGCAGAUGAUGAACGUGAAAAUGGAGGUGAGUGAAAAAUUUUGCUUUCAAAAUUUCCACUUAACAAGUUAGUAUUUGUUUGAAAUUUUAGGAUAUGGGGAGAGCAAGGACAAGCAGCCCUAGAGAAAGCCAGUAUAUGCUUGCUUAAUUGUGGUCCUACGGGUUCUGAGACAUUAAAAAAUCUUGUUCUUGGUGGGGUUGGAUCGAUUACAGUGAUUGAUGGAUCUAAAGUUGAAGUCAGUGAUCUUGGAAAUAAUUUCAUGGGUGUGUUUCUCUGAUCUCGCAUUCUGUGUACUUAUAUUUAUUUAUUUUUUCCGUGCUUAUCUUGCCUCGUAAUUUUGGUAGUGGAUGAAUCAAGUGUGGGGCAAUCAAAAGCAAAGUGUGUGUGUGCAUUUCUUCAAGAGCUAAAUGAUGCUGUUAAAGCCAAGUUUAUAGAAGAGCACCCUGAGGCAUUAAUCGAGACAAAUCCGUCCUUUUUUUCUCAGUUUACAUUAGUAGUAGCGACUCAGCUGGUGGAAGAUUCAAUGGUUAAGCUUGAUAAAAUCUGUAGGGAGGCCAAUGUGAAGUUGAUUUUUGCACGCUCCUAUGGCCUUACUGGGUUUGUUAGAGUCAGUGUAAAGGAACAUACAGUGAUCGAGUCAAAGCCUGAUCAUUUUUUGGAUGAUCUUCGGUUGAAUAACCCAUGGCCUGAGCUCAAAAGUUUUGCAGAAACAAUUGACUUAAAUGUGGCAGAUCCUGUUGCACAUAAGCACACUCCAUAUGUAAUUAUCCUUGUCAAGAUGGCUGAGGAGUGGGCCAAAACUCAUGGUGGUAGCCUUCCAUCAACUAGGGAUGAGAAAAAACAGUUCAAGGAGCUUCUCAAAGCUGGGAUGGUUGCAACGGAUGAAGACAACUAUAAAGAAGCCAUAGAGGCCUCCUUUAAAGUAUUUGCUCCUCGAGGAAUUAGUCCGGAUCUGCAGCAGAUAAUUAGUGAUAGCUGUACUGAAGUUGAUUCUAAUUCUUCACAAUUUUGGGUGAUGCUAGCUGCUUUAAAGGAGUUUAUUGUUAAUGAAGGUGGUGGGGAGGCACCGCUUGAGGGUUCAAUACCAGAUAUGACAUCUUCAACUGAGCUCUAUGUAAAUUUGCAGAAGAUCUACCAAGCAAAAGCUGAGGCUGAUUAUCUUAUUAUAGAGCAAAGGGUGAAGAAUAUACUGAAGAAAAUUGGUAGAGAUCCUGAUGGCAUCUCAAAGACAAUGAUAAAAAGCUUCUGCAAAAAUGCUAGAAAACUAAAGGUUUGCAGGUAUCGCCUUCUUGAGGAUGAGUUCAGCAAUCCUUCCCUUCCGCAGUUGCAGAAGUAUUUAACUGAUGAGGAUUACAGUGUGGCCAUGGGCUUUUAUAUUUUGCUGCGAGCUGUUGACCGUUUUACUGCUAAUUAUAACAGUUUUCCAGGGCAAUUUGAUGGGGAAAUGGAUGAGGAUAUAUCUCGACUAAAAACUACAGCUGUUGGUCUCCUGAGUGACUUGGGUUGCAACGGAUCACCCUUGACAGAGGACCUUAUAAAUGAAAUGUGCCGGUUUGGUGCUUCAGAGCUCCAUGCAGUAGCAGCCUUCAUAGGGGGAGUUGCAUCACAAGAAGUGAUCAAGCUAAUAACAAGACAAUUUGUUCCUAUUUCUGGGACUUUCAUAUUCAAUGGCAUUGAUCACAAGUCUCAAUUGUUGGCACUUUAGAAUGCUUCGGAAAUCCUCUCUUCAAGUGAUGGAAUGGUCGACCUUUUUGCUGGUGCGGCUUCAUUACAUCGUAUAGAGGAGGCAUUCUUUGCAUCAUUGCGAGGCGCACAGUAUUUAGGCAGGGUUCUUUGAUAUGAACGUUUUUGUAAUCUAGUCAUUGAUGUGAAAAAAAAAAAAAGAGAGAAGGUAAUAUCUGAAAGACUUGCUUUCUCUUUUCAGCGAAAAGGAUAUGCUAGUCGUCAUAUUCCUGCUGCGUUUUCAUUUGGUAUCGUAGAAUUUAUUCACAUUGAACCACCUUAGUAAGAGAGUAAUGAUUUUAACUAUCUACUCUCCUGGCUCUUUUUAAUCGGACUAGCUGCAGGGGGCCAGUUUUGGUCCUCCUCCCCUAGCCCUGAAUCAGAACUGGCGGUUUGAACUGCCGGUUUUGGUCUGGUUCAAACUAUAUA
rnacentral:misc_RNA from 1 species